rnacentral:rRNA from 1 species
GAUGAACGCUGGCGGCGUGCCUAAUACAUGCAAGUCGAGCGAACAGAUAAGGAGCUUGCUCCUUUGACGUUAGCGGCGGACGGGUGAGUAACACGUGGGUAACCUACCUAUAAGACUGGGAUAACUUCGGGAAACCGGAGCUAAUACCGGAUAAUAUUUCGAACCGCAUGGUUCGAUAGUGAAAGAUGGUUUUGCUAUCACUUAUAGAUGGACCCGCGCCGUAUUAGCUAGUUGGUAAGGUAACGGCUUACCAAGGCGACGAUACGUAGCCGACCUGAGAGGGUGAUCGGCCACACUGGAACUGAGACACGGUCCAGACUCCUACGGGAGGCAGCAGUAGGGAAUCUUCCGCAAUGGGCGAAAGCCUGACGGAGCAACGCCGCGUGAGUGAUGAAGGUCUUCGGAUCGUAAAACUCUUUUAUUAGGGAAGAACAUACGUGUAAGUAACUGUGCACGUCUUGACGGUACCUAAUCAGAAAGCCACGGCUAACUACGUG